AGCAGACCGGCUACAAAGAGCGGGCCAGCUAUUUUGUCUGCUCCUCCGAAAGCCGUAGGUGUGCAGGUUUUAUUCUUGCUCAGUUGUGCAAUGGGGGAGGAUGAUGUUUGCAAACAAGCUCCAUGGUGAGGGAGCUCGGGCUGAUUCAUUCGAUGUGGGUUUUUUUUUUUUUUUCUUUUUUAAAUCACUUUUUGAGACAAAGCUGAUUGUGACCUUCUCGCUUCCACAUCCUCUUCCGUACCAGAACAAGGGAUGGGGAAAAAAAAAAAACCGAGGCAGCCAGCAGGUCCCAACACCUCCAAACAAGCUGGCGAUUCCCCAUUCCGUUUUGAGAAGUGAGAGUGGGGAAGACGAGGUUUUCUCCUGCCCUGAACUCCCUCUAAGACCUACUUAAAGGACGGCUCUUUCCAGAACAAUGUCCCCGGGGUGAGAGGCAGAGCUGGCUGCGGGCCACCGCUAGAACGUGGCCAUUGUCUGGAGAGAGGGAAAAGUUCCAGGAUGCGCCCUGAAUGCCUCUCCUGCGCCUUUCAUUUUUAAAAGUGUUUAAUAAUUGAAGCCCACGGCUGCACUCGGCCCUCCUGCGAGACACGGGAAACUGACACGAGACGUGAGGAUAACAAGGAGGAGAGGCAUUACCUUGCAAACCAGCUCCUCGCCACUGUGCAGAUGUACGGCUCGGAAAACGUGGUCUCCCUCGAGAGGCUCCAACAAUAAGUAUUUCCCGAUGCAAGAAACGCAAUGCGACAAGUUCGGGGUCUCCGGCGGGCUCGGCGAGCCUAGAUUCGGGCUAAAACUCUGGCUUGGCUCGAUGGACCGUAUGGACGAAAGCUCCUCAAAAUCCUGGGUUUUAUUCCGCGGUCUCCCAUAUCGUGCUAUCGUGAUAGGGGUUGACCUUUGUAUGUUCAUGAGUAUGGAGAAGCCCAGCCGAGACGCUGCACCGGAGCCCUGGCGUGGAGAGCGGUCCCUCGCCCGUCCAGCUGCGGCCGCCUUUGUGUGCGCCGGGGGGGCGGGAGCGGGAGCGCGGCGGCGGCGGGCGACCAGCCUCAGCGCCGCGUCGUGGCGGGGACGCUGGCUGCUCCGAGCCUCGCUGCCGGCCGCCGCACGCCCGCACGGUGCCCAGCGCGCAGGCUGACUGCCCCGCCGCCGCCGCACGCCCCGGCCCGGCCCGG
rnacentral:lncRNA from 1 species